CAUGCGGCAGCUAUACAUGCAAGUCGAGCGGACAGAUGGGAGCUUGCUCCCUGAUGUUAGCGGCGGACGGGUGAGUAACACGUGGGUAACCUGCCUGUAAGACUGGGAUAACUCCGGGAAACCGGGGCUAAUACCGGAUGCUUGUUUGAACCGCAUGGUUCAAACAUAAAAGGUGGCUUCGGCUACCACUUACAGAUGGACCCGCGGCGCAUUAGCUAGUUGGUGAGGUAAUGGCUCACCAAGGCAACGAUGCGUAGCCGACCUGAGAGGGUGAUCGGCCACACUGGGACUGAGACACGGCCCAGACUCCUACGGGAGGCAGCAGUAGGGAAUCUUCCGCAAUGGACGAAAGUCUGACGGAGCAACGCCGCGUGAGUGAUGAAGGUUUUCGGAUCGUAAAGCUCUGUUGUUAGGGAAGAACAAGUGCCGUUCAAAUAGGGCGGCACCUUGACGGUACCUAACCAGAAAGCCACGGCUAACUACGUGCCAGCAGCCGCGGUAAUACGUAGGUGGCAAGCGUUGUCCGGAAUUAUUGGGCGUAAAGGGCUCGCAGGCGGUUUCUUAAGUCUGAUGUGAAAGCCCCCGGCUCAACCGGGGAGG
rnacentral:rRNA from 1 species